GGGAGAUUGACGGUACUGUAGGAAUAAGGACCGGCUAACUCCGUGCCAGCAGCCGCGGUAAUACGGAGGGUCCGAGCGUUAUCCGGAAUCAUUGGGUUUAAAGGGUCCGUAGGUGGGGUUCUAAGUCAGAGGUGAAAGGUUGCAGCUCAACUGUAGAAUUGCCUUUGAUACUGGAGCUCUUGAGUUAUGUUGCUGUGGCCGGAACAUGUGGUGUAGCGGUGAAAUGCAUAGAUAUCACAUAGAACACCGAUUGCGAAGGCAGGUCACAAAGCAUACACUGACACUGAGGGACGAAAGCGUGGGGAGCGAACGGGAUUAGAUACCCCGGUAGUCCACGCCGUAAACGAUGGAUACUAGCUGUUGGGUUUUCGGACUCGGCGGCCAAGCGAAAGUGAUAAGUAUCCCACCUGGGGAGUACGUUCGCAAGAAUGAAACUCAAAGGAAUUGACGGGGGCCCGCACAAGCGGUGGAGCAUGUGGUUUAAUUCGAUGAUACGCGAGGAACCUUACCAGGGCUUAAAUGGGAGAUGACCGGGUCAGAGACGACCCUUUCUUCGGACAUCUUUCAAGGUGCUGCAUGGUUGUCGUCAGCUCGUGCCGUGAGGUGUCAGGUUAAGUCCUAUAACGAGCGCAACCCCUGCCGUUAGUUGCCAGCGAGUCAAGUCGGGGACUCUAACGGGACUGCCGGUGCAAACCGAGAGGAAGGUGGGGACGACGUCAAAUCAUCACGGCCCUUACGUCCUGGGCUACACACGUGCUACAAUGGUCGGUACAAUGGGAAGCCACCCCGUGAGGGGGCGCGGAUCUUAAAAGCCGAUCACAGUUCGGAUCGGGGUCUGCAACUCGACCCCGUGAAGCUGGAAUC
rnacentral:rRNA from 1 species